rnacentral:tRNA from 1 species
UCCCAGGUGGCUCAGUGGUAAAGAGUCUGUGUGCAAUGCAGGAGAUUCGGGUUCAACCCCUGGGUUGGGAA